GAUGAACGCUAGCUUCAGGCUUAACACAUGCAAGUCGCGGGGCAGCAUGAAUUUAGCUUGCUAAAUUUGAUGGCGACCGGCGCACGGGUGAGUAACGCGUAUCCAACCUUCCCAUAUCCACGGGAUAGCCUGCCGAAAGGCAGAUUAAUACCGUAUGUCGUCAUCAGUUGGCAUCAAAUUUUGACGAAAGGUUUAGCGGAUAUGGAUGGGGAUGCGUCCGAUUAGGUAGUCGGCGGGGUAACGGCCCACCGAGCCGACGAUCGGUAGGGGUUCUGAGAGGAAGGUCCCCCCACAUUGGGACUGAGACACGGCCCAGACUCUACGGGAGGCAGCAGUGGGGAAUCUUCCGCAAUGGGCGAAAGCCUGACGAGCAACGCCGCGUGAGUGAAGAAGG
rnacentral:rRNA from 1 species